UGAAGACAGAUAUACUGACAUGAUUUUUCUCUGUUCUAACCAGCGGUGAGGCAGCUGAAGGAAGCUGUGGACUCAUCCAUUAACAAGCUGUCCAACUUUGACGGUAAGAGCACAGAUUGUGUGUUUUUAAUCGACACUAAGAGCAUUUUCACACUUCGGAUUUCGGUGUGGUUCAUUUAAGGUGAACCACUCAAGAAAUGGAGAAGAGACCUGACAUGUUUUCCUGAUUUAUUCCACAGAAGUCAUUGAUGCACAUCUUCAGAAUAACCAGACGACAGUGGACAACAGCUUGGCCAGUCCAGACAGGCUUAAAGAAAACCAAAUAGACGCUAAAGAGAGCGAUAUGUCAGAUACCCUGAGCCCCAGCAAGGACAAAAGCAGUGACGACACAUCAGAUGGACAGAUGGAUGAACAAGAACUGAACGAGCCCCAGAACAGGGUUUCUCUUCUGAAAGGUAAUCCCUCCAUUCUUUUGUGUGAAA
rnacentral:lncRNA from 1 species